rnacentral:rRNA from 1 species
GACGAACGCUGGCGGCGUGCUUAACACAUGCAAGUCGAACGAAGUGGCGAACGGGUGAGUAACGCGUAAUCAACCUGCCCUUCAGAGGGGGAUAACAGUUGGAAACGACUGCUAAUACCGCAUCCUGAAGGUGGGGAUUGCGUCUGGUUAGCUCGUUGGCGGGGGAACGGCCCACCAAGGAGAUGAUCAGUAGCCGGUCUGAGAGGAUGGACGGCAGCAUUGGGACGGAGACACGGCCCAGACUCCUACGGGAGGCAGCAGUGGGGAAUCUUCCGCAAUGGACGAAAGUCUUACGGAACAACGCCGCGUGAGUGAUGACGGCCUUCGGGUUGUAAAGCUCUGUUAAUCGGGACGCGUUACCGGAAUAGAAAGCCACGGCUAACUACGUGCCAGCAGCCGCGGUAAUUC